CCUCCUCUCAGGUUGUACCAAAAAAACUGCUUCCACAGGGAGGGGGUGGAUAUUUUCUGGAAUAGCCCAAUAUUACAAGAUAUUGUACAUUGUUUAAACUGUCACAGAUGUGAACAGUUUAAACUGUCACAGAUGUGAACAAUUUAAUAAUUACAUGGUCAUUAUGCACAGUGGAAUCUAUGAAAAUUGAAAAUUAUAGUACAAUAACACAGGAAAAGUGGUGUUUUAAAUUGUCACUUUUUGUUGUAAUUAUAGCAACUAAAAUAGACCUCCUGAAAAUUUCUUAAAAAUUCUACAUGCAAAUUACAAUAAAAACUACUUUUUUUCAUUCUCACUACUGCCAUUACUGGUAGACAGCAUGCUGGUAGGCUACUAAAUAAAUGAGAAAUUCUUUUUUUUAUAUUUUUCAGGAUAACCUCCAGCUGUAAGAAAUAUAAAGGCUCACUGCAGUUUUGAGUGCUCAACAAGUAUUGACCCCAUACUAUGCUCAGCAAGUAGGGCCCUUGUAUUUCUGUGAAUCCUCAUGCAGUACAGUACUGCUGUUGGAAGAGGAGCAAACAGUGUGGUAUCUAUGGUCCACCAUCACUUCAAGCAUCACGGCUAUGGAGAAAAGAAUGUUUCAUUACAUAUGGACAAUUAUAGUGGACAAAAUAAGAAAAGUGCUGUAAUAAGCUAUGGAAUGUGGCUUGUUAUGAUGGGUCUACAUGAUGACUUGGAGUACAACCUGAUUGAGGCCCGGCAUACAGAAUUCAGUCCUGAACAUGUUUAGGAUGUCUUCUGCAUGACCUGGUAUAGAUAGUAUUCUUGAAGGAUUAUAACUUCAACACAGAGACGGAGAUUAAUAUUUUUAGGCAGGGGGUUGGCAUGACAGGCAAAUUCACCAACCGUAUUACCAUUCCUGAGCUGGAUGCCAGUCGACAGUGGUACCUGUAUAAUGAAAUAGCGCCCCCCUUUGCAGCAACAGCAAUGUAUGCUCAAAACCAGCAGUGUCAAAGCCAUUAAAAUUGAUAAUUCAAGUCAUUUAAAACGAAGAAUGAAUGGAAAAAAGUGUUUUAUAUUUAAAGUAAUACAGAGAAAGAGCUCUGAAAUUUUGAUUAAUUUGAAAGUGUUUUUGAUUUUUUGAAGAUGUACUAGACCCAAAUUCCAUGUAUUUGAAAAAGAACAAAUGAUAUAUAUAGUUUAUGUAAACAUUGAAUUAACAACUUUAUGGUGUCAACAGUACUAUGCAUUUGUUAAAUAUUGACUCACUAUAUACAUGUAAGGCUGAACACAGUAUAAAUGUGAAAUUCCUCUAAAAUACUGGAAGAUUUUUCAACAAUAAUUGUAACAUAUAUGGUAGUAAUGUACAUUUUUUUCAUUACGACAGUUGGAUUAUAUAGAUCUACGAAUAUUUUCUGCUGUAUUCAAACUGCAUGUAAUCAUUUCUGUCGGCAGUAUCAUGUUUAUUUUCCUUUUUCAUGAACAAUUAAUUUAACCUGUCUUGAAAGCACAAUAUAUGUAUAAUUUGUAAAACAUACAUUGGAUUAUUGUGGAAACAAUUUAGUUUUUGUAUGCCUAAUUAUUUAUUAUUGCCGUUAGUAUCAUCUAACUCUUUUAAUAUGAUCAAGACAUUUAAUAAGGCAGUUUUCUUAAACUAUUACUGUGUGUUAAAUGAGAUUAUAUAGUAUUAUGUUUACGGAAUUAACUGCGUAACCAUGGAAACAUUUUUCUGUUGUUCUAUAUUAUGUCUUGAAAAAAAAACAUUGUUUGAAGAACA